rnacentral:rRNA from 1 species
AUGCAGUCCUCUUAUAAAUUAUGUGCUCAAAAGGAACCAUCGGUGUUCAAGUCCAGUCACAAAAUUGUUCGCCUGAAGCUACCAAAUUACAUGAAUAAAGUCAUACCAUGUCUCCAGCCAACAUAUUACCUUGAAGGAGGCUCUGCUCAAGCAUAUUUGAAACUGCACGAAGUUUGUGCUGCUGUGGUUUACAUGUUUGAGGGUAGUACUAUUCAGAUCUGGGAGUUGUUUCUCUGUUUCGAGCGUCCACUGGACCAGGAAACACUCAAUACUAAACAUAUGCAGUUUGACUACAAGGACUUGUAG